rnacentral:rRNA from 1 species
UACGAAGGGGCUAGCGUUGCUCGGAAUCACUGGGCGUAAAGCGCACGUAGGCGGAUUGUUAAGUCAGGGGUGAAAUCCUGGAGCUCAACUCCAGAACUGCCUUUGAUACUGAGAAGCUUGAGUCCGGGAGAGGUGAGUGGAACUGCGAGUGUAGAGGUGAAAUUCGUAGAUAUUAGCUAGAACACCAGUGGCGAAGGCGGCCAACUGGUCCGAUACUGACGCUGAGGUGCGAAAGCGUGGGGAG